rnacentral:misc_RNA from 1 species
AUUUUUAUUUUUAUUUUUAUUUUGAGUUUCCAUUAUAAUUUGAUGGGAAAAGAUGAAUAUUCAUAGGAAGUCAAUAAAGAGAUGCAAAAUCCACCAGUCUCAUGGGCCUACAGCCUGUAAAAUGCUUGCUGCUUUCAUAUUCACGGUCAUAAAGCUACUUGCGAUUUGUCACAAAGUUCCGUGACUUGAUUGCAAAUUUUUUCCCCUUUUAAUGAGGUGCGUUAAAAGUCAGACCAAACUCCAAAAUCAAGAUUUUAAAUAUGAAUUCUAAUUUAAUUUCCUCAUCUAUUUUUACCUAUCAUUUAAGAUUUUUAUAUGAUAAUUCACCUAA